UUGACGGUACCCUACUAGAAAGGAGCCGCUAACUUCGUGCCAGAAGCGUCGGUAAUACGGGGGCUCCAAGCGUUAUCCGGUGUUAUUGGGCGUAAAGAGUCGUGUAGGUGGUUGGGUAAGUUAUCUUUCAAAUAUCUUUGCUUUACAAAGAGGAGGGGGAUAAUACUGCUCGACUAGAAUUUUCUCAAGGGAGAUCGGAACUGAGGGAGGAGUAGUGAAAUGCGUUGAUACCCUCGGGAACACCAGUGGCGUAGGCGGAUCUCUGGGAGAAGAUUGACACUGAGACACGAAAGCUAGUGGAGCGAAGCAGAUUAGAGACCUGCGUAGUCCUAGCCGUAAACGCAUGCUUGCUAGCUGCAUGAAUCUACCUUCGGGUGGUAUCGUGUGGCGAAGGUAACCCGUUAAGCAAGCCGCCUGGAAAGUACGGCCGCAAGGCUGAAAUUCAAAGGAAUUGGCGGGGAGGCACACAACCAGUGGAACAUGUGGUUUAAUUCGAGACUAACCGAAGAACCUCACCAGGGUUUGACAUGUAGCUGCACGUCUUAAGAAAUUAAGACUCUCUUGAAGGUGCUACACAGGUGCUGCAUGGCUGUCGUCAGCUCGUUCCGUGAGGAGUGCCCUUAAGUGGGACAACGAGCGCAACCCCUAUUACAUGUUAGAAAUGUCAUGUAAGACUGCCUUGCCAUUUGGCGGGGAGGAAGGAGGGGCAGACGUCAAGUCCGCAUGGUCCUUAUGCCCUGGGCUACACACAUGUUACAAUGAGUACGGCAAUGAGUCUGUCGCGAGCACGUAAGUGUAAGCUAAUCUCUUAAAUGUACUCUCAGUGGGGAUUGAGGUCUGCAACUCGACCUCAUGAACACGGAAUUGGUAGUAAUCGCGGGUCAGC
rnacentral:rRNA from 1 species